GAGAGAUUCUUCUACGUGUAAUGAACUUGAGGAAAUGCACCAGCCAGUAGACAGACCAGGUAAUGGAGGAUUGAUGUCUGGUAGGCAGCUGGUUAUGAGUAUUAUGAUAUUACUACUGCUGUGUUAUAUAUGAGAUGGAAUUAGCUGGCUCGUGGCUGUUAUAUAUAAGGAGGAUAAGCAUUUGCUUGGCCUAAUAAACUGUACAUGUGGGGCCCACCUUUUUUCAGAUUUGGAGCAGUUUGGAACACAGCAAAGGUAGAACCAGGAUCUAUUGUUGCUGUUUUCGGCCUUGGGACUGUUGGCCUUGCAGACAUUGACAGGCAGGUUAAAAGCUUCGUUCUGUAAGGCUUUUCACACAUCUUCCAUCUAUGGCAGAGCUUAUGAAAGUGCAGCUUGUCUGCUACAUGUGCUCUUGCACGUGUUAGCGUGAUGGACAUGCUGCGUUUCCACAAGUUCACCAUAGAUGAGUCUCUGUCCUAUUGCACUGCAAGAUGCCAUGUUUAUUAUGUCCCAUUGUUGGAACUAUUGGAUUUGAUAUGUUGGAUUUGCCAAAUCAUAUUAGCAAGGUUCAUGGAUGCCUUCUUAAGGUUGACCUUUGGGAUUGUAUUUGCUAAUUUCUUUAUAUAUUUACCUUUCUAAUUUUCAGGAACCUGUGCAUUCUUAAUGUGUAUCCUGACCUUUGGGAUUCCUUGCUUGUAACUAUCUAUCACUAUGGAUGAUUCAUCCUCCAUUCAUUAGCUGUCAUUCUGAAAUGUUUUUCAUGCAAUUUGUGUUAUUCUGUUGGGAGAUUUUAGCAUUGAAACUUUGAGGAUUUUCUACAGGGGAGCGGUUUACGGAGAUAGUGGGCAGUCCAUAUUUUAGUAUCUCAAUUCACCUUAUACUGUUUUUUUUUUCCUUCAGUUCCAAAUCUCUUUUCUUCAUGAUCUCUAGUAGUAAAUAACUAUUGCAUUCCUUCUUUCAGGUUAACAAACCAAAUCUUCCACUUGCAUCGCGAUUUUCAGGCUUUUUGGAAACAACAGCUUGUCUGAUACAUGACUGCCAUCCCAAAAAAGCUAUAAACUUCUUAAUGUGCAUUAGGAAGGGAUGAAUGGGAGUUAGAUGGUUGGAUUAUUUUUAUUUAUUUAUUUGUCUUGUUUUGUAGGCUUUAAGAAGGGAUGAAUGAGAGUUUUGAUGGCCCACUCUG